AGUGAACGCUGGCGGUAGGCCUAACACAUGCAAGUCGAACGGCAGCACAGGAGAGCUUGCUCCCUGGGUGGCGAGUGGCGGACGGGUGAGGAAUACAUCUGAAUCUACUCUGUCGUGGGGGAUAACGGAGGGAAACUUACGCUAAUACCGCAUACGACCUACGGGUGAAAGCAGGGGACCUUCGGGCCUUGCGCGAUUGAACGGGCCGGUGUCGGAUUAGCUAGUUGGCGGGGUAAAGGCCCACCAAGGCGACGAUCCGUAGCUGGUCUGAGAGGAUGAUCAGCCACACUGGAACUGAGACACGGUCCAGACUCCUACGGGAGGCAGAAGUGGGGAAUAUUGGACAAUGGGCGCAAGCCUGAUCCAGCCAUACCGCGUGGGUGAAGAAGGCCUUCGGGUUGUAAAGCCCUUUUGUUGGGAAAGAAAUCCAGCUGGCUAAUACCCGGUUGGGAUGACGGUACCCAAAGAAUAAGCACCGGCUAACUUCGUGCCAGCAGCCGCCGUAA
rnacentral:rRNA from 1 species